rnacentral:rRNA from 1 species
UUAGAGUUUGAUCCUGGCUCAGGACGAACGCUGGCGGCGUGCCUAACACAUGCAAGUCGAACGGAGCUAGAUGCUGAGGACGUAGCUUGCUAUUGAAUCUUGUUUAGCUUAGUGGCGGACGGGUGAGUAACGCGUGAGCAACCUACCUUUCAGAGGGGGAUAACGUUUGGAAACGAACGCUAAUACCGCAUGAUAUUAUUGGGCAGCAUUGCCUGAUAAUCAAAGGAGCAAUCCGCUGAAAGAUGGGCUCGCGUCCGAUUAGGUAGUUGGCGGGGUAACGGCCCACCAAGCCGACGAUCGGUAGCCGGACUGAGAGGUUGAACGGCCACAUUGGGACUGAGACACGGCCCAGACUCCUACGGGAGGCAGCAGUGAGGGAUAUUGGUCAAUGGGGGAAACCCUGAACCAGCAACGCCGCGUGAGGGAAGACGGUUUUCGGAUUGUAAACCUCUGUCCUCUGUGAAGAUGAUGACGGUAGCAGAGGAGGAAGCUCCGGCUAACUACGUGCCAGCAGCCGCGGUAAUACGUAGGGAGCAAGCGUUGUCCGGAUUUACUGGGUGUAAAGGGUGCGUAGGCGGCUUUGCAAGUCAGAAGUGAAAUCUAUGGGCUUAACCCAUAAACUGCUUUUGAAACUGCAGGGCUUGAGUGAAGUAGAGGUAGGCGGAAUUCCCGGUGUAGCGGUGAAAUGCGUAGAGAUCGGGAGGAACACCAGUGGCGAAGGCGGCCUACUGGGCUUUAACUGACGCUGAGGCACGAAAGCGUGGGUAGCAAACAGGAUUAGAUACCCUGGUAGUCCACGCUGUAAACGAUGAUUUCUAGGUGGGGGUGGACUGACCCCCUCCGUGCCGGAGUUAACACAAUAAGUAAUCCACCUGGGGAGUUCGGCCGCAAGGCUGAAACUCAAAGGAAUUGACGGGGGCCCGCACAAGCGGCGGAGUAUGUGGUUUAAUUCGAAGCAACGCGAGGAACCUUACCAGGCCUUGACAUGGGAUGCGAAGAUGCAGAGAUGCAUCGGCGGUCAACAUCCACACAGGUGGUGCAUGGUUGUCGUCAGCUCGUGUCGUGAGAUGUUGGGUCAAGUCCCGCAACGAGCGCAACCCUUGUGGCAUGUUGCUAACAGGAAAAGCUGAGGACUCAUGCCAGACUGCCGGUGACAAACCGGAGGAAGGUGGGGAUGACGUCAAAUCAUCACGCCCCUUAUGACCAGGGCUACACACGUGCUACAAUGGCGUAAACAAAGGGAAGCGAACAUGUGGGUGCAAGCGAAUCCCAAAAAUAACGUCUCAGUUCGGAUUGUAGUCUGCAACUCGACUACAUGAAGCUGGAAUCGCUAGUAAUCGCGAAUCAGAAUGUCGCGGCGAAUACGUUCCCGGGUCUUGCACUCACCACCCGUCA